GUUUUUAUUUCAACCGCCUCCAUCUUCAUGGAUUUUUCUGUCAGUGAGGUGUUUCUUUUAAUCGAUUUAUACAAUAUAUCAAGAUGUAUUUUUUGAAAUAUAUAUAGAACAACUGACAAGCCGAGAUUUCACGCAAAAAAAAAGCAGUCUAGCUACAGCUGUCAAACGAGAAUAUGGAGAAAAAUGAAAAAACCGGAACGGAACAAAAGUCUACACUCUACAUAUAUUUUUUCUGUUAUGUGGUGAGAUGGUUGUAUCGAGGGGAGUUUUGUUUGCUUUCUCAUGUGAAAUCAAAUUUUGCUUUGAUCGAACGACGCGACAGAUCAUGUCCAGUAUCAACUAAUUACCGUUUAUUGCUGUAAA